GGUAACAGGAAGCAGCUUGCUGCUUUGCUGACGAGUGGCGGACGGGUGAGUAAUGUCUGGGAAACUGCCUGAUGGAGCGGGAUAACUACUGGAAACGGUAGCUAAUACCGCAUAACGUCGCAAGACCAAAGAGGGGGACCUUCGGGCCUCUUGCCAUCGGAUGUGCCCAGAUGGGAUUAGCUAGUAGGUGGGGUAAAGGCUCACCUAGGCGACGAUCCCUAGCUGGUCUGAGAGGAUGACCAGCCACACUGGAACUGAGACACGGUCCAGACUCCUACGGGAGGCAGCAGUGGGGAAUAUUGCACAAUGGGCGCAAGCCUGAUGCAGCCAUGCCGCGUGUAUGAAGAAGGCCUUCGGGUUGUAAAGUACUUUCAGCGGGGAGGAAGGGAUAAAGUUAAUACCUUUGCUCAUUGACGUUACCCGCAGAAGAAGCACCGGCUAACUCCGUGCCAGCAGCCGCGG
rnacentral:rRNA from 1 species